GAGUCUAUUUCCAGGCACCCAGUGACCAGGGCUGACAACUUGCCCCAGACCACCAGCCUCCCCACUGAGAAAGCAAGAGGACUCACAGUUCUUCAGCAUCUCAGGGAGCCUACAGUGGCAAUCCAGUUUCUUCAAAGCAUCUGUGGAUUCUCUCAGCUUUCCUGGAUAAGGGAAGAGAAAUGAAGAGAAGUUGUGAAAUUGAAUUGAGCUAAAUAUCGUUAGAGAUUCUGGAACGGGAUUCUAUGAAGCCACACUGGCCUUGUUUUGUUUUGCGAACAUCUGCGGCAUACUCCCACCUCAAGAUCUUGGCAAAUGUUACAUCCUCUGAUUGGAAUGCUCUUCCCAGAUGGCCACAAGUUUUGCUCUCUGAUCUUCCUCAAAUUUUUCCUUAAAUAUAAAACUUUUUCCUGAUCAUUCUACUUAAAAUUUCAACCCCACAGUGUUUUCCUAGUUUCUUGUCUUUUACCUAAUGCACUUAUAACUUUUUAAAAUACUUUUACAGAUUGGUUUGUCGAAUGCUAUAUAUAUUAUUUCUUUAAAAUUUGUUUGCCUACAAAUGUAUUUAUUAAAUUUGUCUUCUGCCUCCCCCAAGGAAUACAAGCUUCAAUAGUUCUAAAAAAGUAAACAUAAAAUAAAAUAAAAUAAAAAUAAAAAUUCAUGCACUGGAAAGACAAAUUUAGAAUUUAAGAAUAAACUUAAAAAUAAAGAUAUUCAUGAGAAAGUGACAUUUUAAUGAAUGUUGGAAAUGUAACCAAUGCUUUUGAAUAGGAUCACUAAAGAUAAAGUGAACUCAUUCAAAUUUAACGUAUUAAUUUAAUACAUAAUAAUCCCAGCAUUUAAAGAAUUAUCUAAAAUUAUAUUCAAAUUAUGGGAGAAAUAAGUUCCCCCACAUAGGCAAGGAAAAUAUUGAAAAUAUAAUUUAAAUUAUAAUUCAAAGUAAUGGAAUCUGAAUAUUUUCCACAUCAGUGAUCCUGCACAAGUGAUUUUUCCAGUCCAUUUCCAUGAGUAAUGCAGUCCAUUUGAUUAGCUUUCAAAGUGUAGCUUCUCAAUGCUUUAGACUCACAAAUACAUGACAAGUGUUAAAAAGGUUUGCUAAUCUAUUUUAUAGUCUUCUCUUGUUCAACCCACAAUGUAAUUUUUUCAAUCAUAAUUAUACAGUGGUGUGUUGUGAAUUUGAAGAACAAAGAUUCAAAAUAUUUUGCAUUUUAGAAAUUGUCUGUAGGUUAUAGAAAUAAAGAGUAAAAAUAAUAGAAUAUUUUAAGAUGUUUGAUUAUUUCCAGUGAAGAUGUAGAAUUUGAUUCUAUUUUUAAAUUUUUUUUUAGAAUUACCAUGUGUUACAUGUGAGUUUAUUGCUAUCUGAAUUGUUACAAAGAAAGAAUCUCUGUCCAUUUUCUGUUUAUUAAAUUUAGAAUGUUAAAUG
rnacentral:lncRNA from 10 species